CGCGCACUGCGCUACAUACAUUCCCCUUAGCCACCACUGCGCGUCCUUUCUUUUUAUUCUUCGGGGUUUUUAAUGCCCUUUUUUUAUUCGGGGGCGGGGGGUUUAACCCCCUUUUAUUUUUCAGGUUUUUUAAUCCCCUUUUAUUCUCCACUUUGUUAUCCCCUUUCUCCUCACAAAGCAUAGAGUCUGGCUGCAGGUGACAGCGAGGCAGCGGAACGCGGGGGUGAGCUGAGCUCCCGACGGAUGACUCCGUUGCAACAAUAAAAGAGUCAAUACGGCGGACAAAAAAAGUGAAGUUUCCCCCAAGGCCACCUAUCCCAAGUUGUUGUAGCUUCUCCACACCGCCAUCAGCUCCCGGGCCUUGCUCCUGUCGCACGGGGCUGGGCUCCAUGCACCCCGCCACCGCCCCGCCCCGUCGGCGUUCCCGGCGCUGCUCCCGGACCUCCUCGCGCUGGGGUGGCCCCGCCGCGCUGUCCCUGCACCCUCCCCCGCCCGGCAGUAGCCGGGGCAGCGGCGCCGUAGGAUGGACAGGAUGUCUCGCCACAGCUCCGGCCGCUUCCCGCAUCCCCGAGCCCGCUCCAAGAGGCACUCCAGCAGCCGACCCGCUCGCUCCGCCCGCCGGGAAUCCUGCAGAAAGACGGCUGGUCACGACCCCGGCCCUCAACCCCCUUUCCCUCAAGCGCUUCCGCAUGCAUCCUUAAAAAGAGGUUGCCUAUCCACCCUUUCUCCCCCCUCGCUCCUCACCCUUGCCCUCUUCUCCCUGCUUUUUCUUCUUUUUCUACCUUCCUCUCUCCCGGCCUUUUUCCCCCCCUCUUCCCCCUUUUUCCUCUUUCUCCCUUUCCCUCCUCUCUUUCCACCCUUUCCCCCUUUCUUACCCUCUCCUUCCCACCCUUUUCUUUGUUUUUGUUUGUUUGUUUGUGGUUUAGGGGUUUUGUUUGUUUGUUUGUUUGUUUGUUUUAUGGAAAGGGAAAGCCACCUAGCCGCCGGGGAGUGCUUGCACCUGGGCGAACCUCGGACUGCUGCAUGCCCGUCGGCUGGGAGGGCGCAUCCUCGCAGGUGUGAAAAUCGAGUUGUAGCUCCUGGAGGGAAACAACAGGGUGGAUGCUCGUUAAAGACACGGCCCCUUGCUGCCAGCCCUCUUGAUCACCCCACUAUAGACAUCCCUACUGCCCUCCGCACCAUCCCGUCGGGGCCUCGGGGUGCUUUGGCGGCUGCGAGAGUCGGGCAGCGGCGGUGCGGGGCAGCUGGUGCUGGGCUGGGCUGGGCGGCUCCGGGCUGUGGUGCCCGAAACAGCGGCGGGGCUUACUCGUCCCCAAAAACACCGCCCGGUCUUUUCGCUAAGGAAAGAUGUGUGUGAACCAUCCUCGUAGCUUCUAAAACCACUGAUCACCUUUGCAACCGUGACACCAUCUUCAGCGUCGGUGGAGCAUUCAUUAUACAAGCGACUUUCAGUCCUACGAGUCUGCAAGGCGCUGGGAAGCUUCGGGUAGCGCUUUCCCAGCGGCCGCCCGGGCUCAUGCUCUCCGUCCCUGACAGUCCCAGCUUCAGUGAAGCGCAUUUUAGGAAGGUCGCGGGAGGACAGUUGGGCGUAACCUCAAGGUCCUGUUUCACAGGCACCGAUUUACUAAACUAGCCAACUCUCGGCUUGCUAAUGGAGAUUUUCAGAAAGUAGCUGCCGGUGGUCAAGAAUAAAAACGUGGAGGCAGUGCCGUCCCGACCGUCUCCCUCCGAUGCCACUAGAGAAAGCACCAACCUCUUGUGUAAAGGUCUUGUCUGGAUCCAAAACGUUUAGUAGAUCCUCUUGUAUCUCCUCGUGGUUACAAAGGCUGAAAUUGUAAGUGGAUCCCCGCGGAAAGAAGGCGAUUUGAAUAAAGAUGAUCAAGCCACAAAGAACUGCGUAAGAAAAAGCCAAAGGUUAAUUCGCUAUGUGACCCAACAAGGCACGGAAGACAGAUCUGAAGAGAGAGAUGCCCGUGCUUCGGAAGCACUAGAGAAACUGUUUGGUUACCCUUGUGAUUAUCCAUGGUGUCUUUACACGCUGUUUUUCUCCUCCCAGGCUUCAGAUCGUUGCUGGCUUCAUAUAUGUACCUGUACGCCUACGGAAAUAAAGGUUUCCAAUUCCAUAA